UACGGGGGGGCAAGCGUUGUUCGGAAUUACUGGGCGUAAAGGGCUCGUAGGUGGCCAACUAAGUCAGACGUGAAAUCCCUCGGCUUAACCGGGGAACUGCGUCUGAUACUGGAUGGCUUGAGAUUGGGAGAGGGAUGCGGAAUUCCAGGUGUAGCGGUGAAAUGCGUAGAUAUCUGGAGGAACACCGGUGGCGAAGGCGGCAUCCUGGACCAACACUGACACUGAGGAGCGAAAGCCAGGGAGCAAACGGGA
rnacentral:rRNA from 1 species